AACGUAGGUGGCAAGCGUUAUCCGGAUUCACUGGGCGUAAAGCGCACGCAGGCGGCUCGGUAGGUAGGGCAUGAAAUCUCCUGGCAUAACUAGGAGACGCUGUCCUAAACCCCCGAGCUUGAGGAUGGGAGAGGGCAGUGGAAUUGCCGGUGUAGUGGUGAAAUGCGUAGAGAUCGUAAGGAAGACCAGUGGCGAAGGCGGGUCUCUGGACAGUUCCUGACACUGAGGCACGAAGGCCAGGGGAGCAAACGGG
rnacentral:rRNA from 1 species